AAGACCCUAUGAAGCUUUACUGUAGCUUGGAAUUGGGUUUAAGUUUUUCUUGCGCAGAAUAGGUGGGAAGCUAAGAAGCCAAUCUUGCGGGAAUGGUGGAGCUAACAGUGAGAUACCACUCUAGGAAAACUGGAAUCCUAACCUUGAUUGCCGUUAGCCGGCCAAGGAACAGUUUCAGGUGGGCAGUUUGACUGGGGCGGUCGCCUCCUAAAAGGUAACGGAGGCGUACAAAGGUUCCCUCAAGCUGG
rnacentral:rRNA from 1 species